UUUAGCUACAGGCUUAACACAUGCAAGUCGAGGGGCAGCAUGGUCUUAGCUUGCUAAGGCCGAUGGCGACCGGCGCACGGGUGAGUAACACGUAUCCAACCUGCCGUCUACUCUUGGACAGCCUUCUGAAAGGAAGAUUAAUACAAGAUGGCAUCAUGAGUCCGCAUGUUCACAUGAUUAAAGGUAUUCCGGUAGACGAUGGGGAUGCGUUCCAUUAGAUAGUAGGCGGGGUAACGGCCCACCUAGUCUUCGAUGGAUAGGGGUUCUGAGAGGAAGGUCCCCCACAUUGGAACUGAGACACGGUCCAAACUCCUACGGGAGGCAGCAGUGAGGAAUAUUGGUCAAUGGGCGAGAGCCUGAACCAGCCAAGUAGCGUGAAGGAUGACUGCCCUAUGGGUUGUAAACUUCUUUUAUAAAGGAAUAAAGUCGGGUAUGGAUACCCGUUUGCAUGUACUUUAUGAAUAAGGAUCGGCUAACUCCGUGCCAGCAGCCGCGGUAAUACGGAGGAUCCGAGCGUUAUCCGGAUUUAUUGGGUUUAAAGGGAGCGUAGAUGGAUGUUUAAGUCAGUUGUGAAAGUUUGCGGCUCAACCGUAAAAUUGCAGUUGAUACUGGAUAUCUUGAGUGCAGUUGAGGCAGGCGGAAUUCGUGGUGUAGCGGUGAAAUGCUUAGAUAUCACGAAGAACUCCGAUUGCGAAGGCAGCCUGCUAAGCUGCAACUGACAUUGAGGCUCGAAAGUGUGGGGUAUCAAACAGGAUUAGAUACCCUGGUAGUCCACACGGUAAACGAUGAAUACUCGCUGUUUGCGAUAUACUGCAAGCGGCCAAGCGAAAGCGUUAAGUAUUCCACCUGGGGAGUACGCCGGCAACGGUGAAACUCAAAGGAAUUGACGGGGGCCCGCACAAGCGGAGGAACAUGUGGUUUAAUUCGAUGAUACGCGAGGAACCUUACCCGGGCUCAAAUUGCAGAUGAAUUACGGUGAAAGCCGUAAGCCGCAAGGCAUCUGUGAAGGUGCUGCAUGGUUGUCGUCAGCUCGUGCCGUGAGGUGUCGGCUUAAGUGCCAUAACGAGCGCAACCCUUGUUGUCAGUUACUAACAGGUUCCGCUGAGGACUCUGACAAGACUGCCAUCGUAAGAUGUGAGGAAGGUGGGGAUGACGUCAAAUCAGCACGGCCCUUACGUCCGGGGCUACACACGUGUUACAAUGGGGGGUACAGAGGGCCGCUACCACGCGAGUGGAUGCCAAUCCCCAAAACCUCUCUCAGUUCGGACUGGAGUCUGCAACCCGACUCCACGAAGCUGGAUUCGCUAGUAAUCGCGCACCAGCCACGGCGCGGUGAAUACGUUCCCGGGCCUUGUACACACCGCCCGUCAAGCCAUGGGAGCCGGGGGUACCUGAAGUGCGUAACCGCGAGGAGCGCCCUAGGGUAAAACUGGUGACUGG
rnacentral:rRNA from 1 species